rnacentral:rRNA from 1 species
AUUGAACGCUGGCGGCAGGCCUAACACAUGCAAGUCGAGCGAGCGGCGGACGGGUGAGUAAUGUCUGGGAAACUGCCUGAUGGAGGGGGAUAACUACUGGAAACGGUAGCUAAUACCGCAUACCAUCAGAUGUGCCCAGGUGGGAUUAGCUAGUAGGUGGGGUACCGGCUCACCUAGGCGACGAUCCCUAGCUGGUCUGACAGGAUGACCAGCCAGACGGUAACUGAGACACGGGCCAGACUCCUAAGGGAGGCAACAGUGGGGAAUAUUGCACAAGGGGCGCGAGCCGGAUGCAGCCAUGCGGCGUGUGUGAAGAAGGCCUUCGGGUGGUAAAGCACUUUCAGCGGGGAGGCGUUACCCGAAGAAGAAGCACCGGCUAACUCCGUGCCAGCAGCCGCGGUAAUAC